ensembl:lncRNA
CCUUGUGUUCCCCACAAAGCUCCUGGACCCGUUUCAAACCUGACUUUGGUCCCAGAGAGUGACUACAUCAUCGCCACCUGGAACUUCCCAGCGGGCACCGUUCCCACUUUCAAGAUAACGCUCCAGCUGGAUGGUGAAGUUGUACAAACACACAAACAACAGGAAUCUGAGAAGACCUUCACUGGACUGAAGAAUGCAGCCAAUUACACAGUGACCGUCCGCAUCACCAGUGGAGAGCUGGAAAGCCCGGCAGUGAGCAAGUCCACUUACACCAAGCCGGCGUCGCCUAGAAAUCUCAGAGUCGCCUUCUCCAAUCAAAGUCAAAUCACCCUCAAAUGGGAUGCCCCCGACAACGCAGCAGCAGGAGUCAACUACUCCGUCAAGCUCAGCUCCCGCUUCUGGGGCCACUACUUUUCUGAAAAUGUGAAGAAUUUAAACCACACGUUUGAUGCGUUAAAAUCUGGGAGCAGGUACGAAGCUGAGGUGCAAACAGUGGUGGGCAACACGUCAAGUUCUGCGGAAAAGGCUGUGUCCAUACACAGGUGAGGCUUUUUUUAUUAGACUGGCAAAGACUUACAGCACUCUUGAGAAAAGGCCUAUUGGCGCAUCCAAGGAGACUGCAGCGUGUCGGGGUUUGAGAGGCUGCUGUUCAAAAAGCGUUUCCAAGCUGUGUUCUUGAAAAAAAAAAAAAUCCAAUCCAGAAGACAAACGAUGAACAAUUAUUCAUCGUUAAUAAUUAUUUCUAACACAGCCCAAGAAGCACAAGCAGACAAAAAGAUGCAUCUUUGCCUUUUGGCUCUGCUCCAUUUUGUGUCUAACAGGUCAUUUAUUCAUUCGUUGGACACCUUUGGUGACCGAUUUCAUCCUGUUAAACAUGAGGAAAUCCAUCUCCAGCGACCGGCAGCGAGUCGUGCCGCACUUGACUGCACCUUAUGUCUUUGCCGGCUCUCUCCAGUGGCCACAAAAAGAAAGAAGUGAAUGACUGAGACCAUUCCAAGGCAGAACUCUUGUAAUUGAUAAUGACAAUCAGGAAGAAACAGGAGAAAAUAACACGCACAACGUUUGAUUCAGGCGAUCAAAUAGAUAAAAGGAAGUCCAGAGGCCGUGUGUGCGUCAGCGGUUACUGAGGAAACGAAACAGCCCGCAUUAUGUCCCAGCACAUGUUAAUAUUUUACAGCGUGAACAAGCUUCCUCAUUCUGGCCUCCUCUUAACACUUUUUUUUCCCCACAGAUGCAAAUAAAAUUGAAAUCAGCCUGGCUAUGUUGUGCUCUUCGAAAGAAGCCCUCCUCUGUGACAAGGCCACCACGAGGGACCGUGUGUUUGAGCAGGUAAUGCACAAAGACAGAGAGGCUGCGGAGGGGAAACUUCAGCAAGAUUGUGUUUUGUGCACCAAUUAGUCCACAGUAAAGGGACAUGUGCAGUUAUUACUUUUCAUGGUUUGUGUUCCAUGUUUUUAAAACUUUAUGUCUAUUGACAUCUUUCUUUAUUUUCAUGUGUUUUGUCACAGCUGCAAAAACAUUUCCACAACAAGCUGCAGAACUUUGUUCUCUGGGAACUUAAGAAGCCAAACUAAGCGACACCAGACACAUCAUGUUUUUACUUUUUUUGAUUUUACUUUGGUGUUUUGUGAUUUUAAAUAGAGUGAUGGGAUCUGAUAAUGUAAAUGUAGACUAUACUUACACUAGAAUAUAAUUUUAAUCUGUGCUGCUUACUCUUUUUAAAAGAGUGAAUUUUGUAAAAAGGUUUUCCUUGAUUUUGUUUGCCAUGUAUGGCCCAUUCCCUCCAGGAAGAGAAAAGAGGAAAGAGAAAUAGAAAGUUUAGUCAUGGAACAAUGAAAUAUAGUCAUGGAUUAUGAAUUAUGAGAAACAAAAACAGAGUAAGUUAGGAGAUCUACAAGAAAGAAAGUAAAAAGUUACAGUUUGCAUUUUGGUUUUUAAUGUUGAACUUUGUAUUUAUUUUGUAAACUGGCUUCCAGAUAUGUGUCUGAUGAUGAAACUAAAUAAAAACAAAACAACAUGUGAAAAUAAUCUUGUAUUCCUUCUGACUAUACACCACAGCGAGCUUCUUGGCAGUUAU